GUAAAUAUGUCUUAAUUUAAUGUUAUUGCACAAUGCACAAAACUGUUCAGAAUCUUUCAGUUUAUAUUAUUCUGGUUAACCUUAUGAAGCAUGUUCUUAAAGGAACAGUGAUUAAUAAGGCACUUAUUUAUGCAGUUAACUCAUAAUUUACAAAAUACAAUUUGUUUAAAACAGUCACUUGAGAAAUAAUUCUAGAAAAAUAACGUGUACAGACAUUUUCACAGACAUUGUUAAUGUAACUGUUACAUAAAUACAGCUUUCUGGCAACAGGUGGUGUGUUUUAGAUAAUAUAUUUAAAAGGUUCAUAUCUAAUGCAUUUUGACAUUCCUUAUAUUUAUCUUUAUGUAAGAGUUAUACUUUUAUUUUAGUGAGAGGGUUAUGUUUGUGUUUAAGCAGACAUUGCAAGCAGGCAAGCACUUAUAGCUUGACAUGGCUGAAGUCAAUACUACCUCACCAAAAUUACAACUAAUGUUUGGCUUAAACCUUGCCUAAUCGCAGUGUUUUUCCCUUUUAUUAUUUCUCUUUUUGUAGGCCCAUCAGAGUGAUUUUCUGAGUUCUUUCACAUAUGCUGUAUGGUCAGCGAAUGGAUGGAUUAUCCAGUCACGGUACAUAAUAAAAGACUUGACUGAGUUAGAAGAAGCUGAGCGACUCUUCAGAGUGAAGAUGUUAUGAUGCAGUUAUGUCAAAGCACUCGUUUCGGCUGGCAAGAUUGGAACAGAACCUGAAUGGGAAGAUGGCAGAGCUAAGACUGGCAAUUUCCAGGAAAAAUGUUUACUAAAAAUGAGUGUGUUUUUCCCCAGCGAGUGAGUUUGGGAAUGUUUUAAAUGUGUCUAGAAGUUUGAAAAUGUAAUACUGAGGGAAAAAAGUGAGCGCUUUGAAAAGGC